AAUACCUGAUGGUAUGAUGAGAUUGCAUGAUAGCAUCAUUAAAGAUUUAUCGGUGUACGAUGGGGAUGCGUUCCAUUAGGUAGUAGGCGGGGUAACGGCCCACCUAGCCAACGAUGGAUAGGGGUUCUGAGAGGAAGGUCCCCCACAUUGGAACUGAGACACGGUCCAAACUCCUACGGGAGGCAGCAGUGAGGAAUAUUGGUCAAUGGACGAGAGUCUGAACCAGCCAAGUAGCGUGAAGGAUGAAGGUCCUACGGAUUGUAAACUUCUUUUAUAAGGGAAUAAACCCUCCCACGUGUGGGAGCUUGUAUGUACCUUAUGAAUAAGCAUCGGCUAACUCCGUGCCAGCAGCCGCGGUAAUACGGAGGAUGCGAGCGUUAUCCGGAUUUAUUGGGUUUAAAGGGAGCGCAGACGGGUCGUUAAGUCAGCUGUGAAAGUUUGGGGCUCAACCUUAAAAUUGCAGUUGAUACUGGCGUCCUUGAGUGCGGUUGAGGUGUGCGGAAUUCGUGGUGUAGCGGUGAAAUGCUUAGAUAUCACGAAGAACUCCGAUUGCGAAGGCAGCACACUAAUCCGUAACUGACGUUCAUGCUCGAAAGUGUGGGUAUCAAACAGGAUUAGAUACCC
rnacentral:rRNA from 1 species